UGGGGAAUUUUGGACAAUGGGCGCAAGCCUGAUCCAGCCAUGCCGCGUGAGUGAAGAAGGCCUUCGGGUUGUAAAGCUCUUUCGGACAGAAAGAAAACCUAUCCGCUAAUACCGGAUAGGGAUGACGGUACUGUAAGAAGAAGCACCGGCUAACUACGUGCCAGCAGCCGCGGUAAUACGUAGGGUGCGAGCGUUAAUCGGAAUUACUGGGCGUAAAGCGUGCGCAGGCGGUUUCGUAAGACAGAUGUGAAAUCCCCGGGCUCAACCUGGGAACUGCAUUUGUGACUGCGAGGCUAGAGUGUAGCAGAGGGGGGUAGAAUUCCACGUGUAGCAGUGAAAUGCGUAGAGAUGUGGAGGAAUACCGAUGGCGAAGGCAGCCCCCUGGGCUAACACUGACGCUCAUGCACGAAAGCGUGGGGAGCAAACA
rnacentral:rRNA from 1 species